rnacentral:rRNA from 1 species
CCUACGGGAGGCAGCAGUGGGGAAUAUUGGACAAUGGGGGGAACCCUGAUCCAGCCAUGCCGCGUGUAUGAAGAAGGCCCUCGGGUUGUAAAGCACUUUCAGUGAGGAAGAACGCCUGGUGGUUAAUACCCAUCAGGAAAGACAACACUCACAGAAGAAGCACCGGCUAACUCCGUGCCAGCAGCCGCGGUAAUACGGAGGGUGCGAGCGUUAAUCGGAAUUACUGGGCGUAAAGCGCGCGUAGGUGGCUUGAUAAGCCGGUUGUGAAAGCCCCGGGCUCAACCUGGGAACGGCAUCCGGAACUGUCAAGCUAGAGUGCAGGAGAGGAAGGUAGAAUUCCCGGUGUAGCGGUGAAAUGCGUAGAGAUCGGGAGGAAUACCAGUGGCGAAGGCGGCCUUCUGGACUGACACUGACACUGAGGUGCGAAAGCGUGGGUAGCAAACAGGAUUAGAUACCCUUGUAGUC